GAUGAACGCUGGCGGCGUGCCUAAUACAUGCAAGUCGAGCGAACGGACGAGAAGCUUGCUUCUCUGAUGUUAGCGGCGGACGGGUGAGUAACACGUGGAUAACCUACCUAUAAGACUGGGAUAACUUCGGGAAACCGGAGCUAAUACCGGAUAAUAUUUUGAACCGCAUGGUUCAAAAGUGAAAGACGGUCUUGCUGUCACUUAUAGAUGGAUCCGCGCUGCAUUAGCUAGUUGGUAAGGUAACGGCUUACCAAGGCAACGAUGCAUAGCCGACCUGAGAGGGUGAUCGGCCACACUGGAACUGAGACACGGUCCAGACUCCUACGGGAGGCAGCAGUAGGGAAUCUUCCGCAAUGGGCGAAAGCCUGACGGAGCAACGCCGCGUGAGUGAUGAAGGUCUUCGGAUCGUAAAACUCUGUUAUUAGGGAAGAACAUAUGUGUAAGUAACUGUGCACAUCUUGACGGUACCUAAUCAGAAAGCCACGGCUAACUACGUGCCAGCAGCCGCGGUAAUACGUAGGUGGCAAGCGUUAUCCGGAAUUAUUGGGCGUAAAGCGCGCGUAGGCGGUUUUUUAAGUCUGAUGUGAAAGCCCACGGCUCAUCCGUGGAGGGUCAUUGGAAACUGGAAAACUUGAGUGCAGAAGAGGAAAGUGGAAUUCCAUGUGUAGCGGUGAAAUGCGCAGAGAUAUGGAGGAACACCAGUGGCGAAGGCGACUUUCUGGUCUGUAACUGACGCUGAUGUGCGAAAGCGUGGGGAUCAAACAGGAUUAGAUACCCUGGUAGUCCACGCCGUAAACGAUGAGUGCUAAGUGUUAGGGGGUUUCCGCCCCUUAGUGCUGCAGCUAACGCAUUAAGCACUCCGCCUGGGGAGUACGACCGCAAGGUUGAAACUCAAAGGAAUUGACGGGGACCCGCACAAGCGGUGGAGCAUGUGGUUUAAUUCGAAGCAACGCGAAGAACCUUACCAAAUCUUGACAUCCUUUGACAACUCUAGAGAUAGAGCCUUCCCCUUCGGGGGACAAAGUGACAGGUGGUGCAUGGUUGUCGUCAGCUCGUGUCGUGAGAUGUUGGGUUAAGUCCCGCAACGAGCGCAACCCUUAAGCUUAGUUGCCAUCAUUAAGUUGGGCACUCUAAGUUGACUGCCGGUGACAAACCGGAGGAAGGUGGGGAUGACGUCAAAUCAUCAUGCCCCUUAUGAUUUGGGCUACACACGUGCUACAAUGGACAAUACAAAGGGCAGCGAAACCGCGAGGUCAAGCAAAUCCCAUAAAGUUGUUCUCAGUUCGGAUUGUAGUCUGCAACUCGGCUACAUGAAGCUGGAAUCGCUAGUAAUCGUAGAUCAGCAUGCUACGGUGAAUACGUUCCCGGGUCU
rnacentral:rRNA from 1 species